UACGUAGGGUGCAAGCGUUAAUCGGAAUUACUGGGCGUAAAGCGUGCGCAGGCGGUGAUUUAAGUCAGAUGUGAAAUCCCCGGGCUCAACCUGGGAACUGCAUUUGUGACUGCAUCGCUGGAGUGCGGCAGAGGGGGAUGGAAUUCCGCGUGUAGCAGUGAAAUGCGUAGAUAUGCGGAGGAACACCGAUGGCGAAGGCAAUCCCCUGGGCCUGCACUGACGCUCAUGCACGAAAGCGUGGGGAGCAAACAGG
rnacentral:rRNA from 1 species